rnacentral:rRNA from 1 species
UCUCAGUUCGGAUUGCAGGCUGCAACCCGCCCUGCAUGAAGUCGGAAUCGCUAGUAAUCGCGGGUCAGCAUACCGCGGUGAAUACGUUCCCGGGCCUUGUACACACCGCCCGUCACACCACGAAAGUUGGUAACACCCGAAGCCGGUGGCCUAACCCUUAGGGGAGGGAGCUGUCGAAGGUGGGACUGAUGAUUGGGGUGAAGUCGUAACAAGGUACC